rnacentral:rRNA from 1 species
GAUGAACGCUAGCGGGAGGCUUAAUACAUGCAAGUCGAGGGGUAACAUUAAUGUUUACAUUAGAUGACGACCGGCGCACGGGUGAGUAACGCGUACACUACCUACCUUAUACUGGGGGAUAGCCAUUGGAAACGAUGAGUAAUACCCCAUGGUCCUGCGAGGGUAAAGGCUUCGGCUGGUAUAAGAUGGGUGUGCGUCCCAUUAGCUAGUUGGUAAGGUAACGGCUUACCAAGGCUACGAUGGGUAGGGGGCGUGAGAGCGUGACCCCCCACACGGGUACUGAGACACGGACCCGACUCCUACGGGAGGCAGCAGUAAGGAAUAUUGGACAAUGGGCGCAAGCCUGAUCCAGCCAUCCCGCGUGCAGGAUGACGGCCCUAUGGGUUGUAAACUGCUUUUAGACAGGAAGAAUAGCAUCUAUUUAUAGGUGUAUGACGGUACUGUCAGAAUAAGCACCGGCUAACUCCG